UACUUAGUGGCGGACGGGUGAGUAACGCGUGGGUAACCUGCCUUACACUGGGGGAUAACACUUAGAAAUAGGUGCUAAUACCGCAUAAGCGCACGAAGCCGCAUGGAUUUGUGUGAAAAACUCCGGUGGUGUAAGAUGGACCCGCGUCUGAUUAGCUUGUUGGCGGGGUAACGGCCCACCAAGGCGACGAUCAGUAGCCGGCCUGAGAGGGUGGACGGCCACAUUGGGACUGAGACACGGCCCAAACUCCUACGGAAGGCAGCAG
rnacentral:rRNA from 1 species